CGGCACAACGGUGCAGUGGUUAGCACUGGUUUCAAACCUGCUGGCUAUGUAGACUUUGCAUGUUUUCUCUUCAUGCCUCCGUGGGCUUCCUCCCACAAUCCAAAGACAUGCAGCCCUGUGACUGACUGAUGACCUGUCCGGGGACCUUGCUCAGAUUUGGUGACACUGAAUUGCCAUGAAGUGCAAAUGGUUGUCUGCUAAUUUAGGUGCCAUCGCUGUAAUUGACUUGUGACUUGUCCAGGGUGUCCAAAUAAACACCAUCAACUCA